rnacentral:rRNA from 1 species
UACGAAGGGGGCUAGCGUUGCUCGGAAUCACUGGGCGUAAAGGGUGCGUAGGCGGGUCUUUAAGUCAGGGGUGAAAUCCUGGAGCUCAACUCCAGAACUGCCUUUGAUACUGAAGAUCUUGAGUACUGGAGAGGAGAUUGGAAUUUACGGUGUAGCAGUGAAAUGCGUAGAUAUCGUAAGGAAGACCAGUGGCGAAGGCGAAUCUCUGGACAGUUACUGACACUGAGGCACGAAGGCCAGGGGAGCAAACGGG